rnacentral:tRNA from 1 species
ACUUGAAUAGCUUAUUUUAGAGCGCGACGCUGAAGAUGUCGAUGAGGUUGUUUUAACCUUUAAGUG